GACGAACGCUGGCGGCGUGCCUAAUACAUGCAAGUCGAAAGCAGUGGGGACGGGUGAGUAACACGUGGGUAACCUCCCAUCAGAGGGGAUAACACUUGGAAACAGGAGCUAAACCGAUACGGAGGGAUGGACUAGCGGUGCAUUAGCUAGUUUGUGAGGUAACGGCUCACCAAGGCUACGAUGCAUAGCCGACCUGAGAGGGUGAUCGGCCACCCUGGGACUGAUACACGGCCCAGACUCCUACGGGAGGCAUCAGUAGGUAAUCUUCGGCAAUGGACGAAAGUCUGACCGAGCAACGCCGCGUGAGUGAAGAAGGUUUUCGGAUCGUAAAACUCUGUUGUUAGAGAAGCGGUAUCUAACCAGAAAGCCACGGCUAACUACGUGCCAGCAGCCGCGGUAAUUC
rnacentral:rRNA from 1 species